CCUCGGUGAGAAAGCUGCGGUGGGACGUCGGAGGACGGCAGCGGUCCGGGUCCACAGAUCCCGGGUUAACCGGGAGGGGGAGGGGCUGGGGGGGGGCGGCGGGCGCGGCCCCGGAGCUGGAACUGGGCUGGAGUCCCGAAGAGUCUGAAGAGUUGGGGUCCCAAGCCUGGGCCUGAGGGGAUCCAGACCGGAUGCUGGGCUGGCCGUGCGUCCCCAGGGGCUGCAGGAGCUGUCCGCCUCUGGGUGCUGAUUGGGCCGAAGGAGACUUCUCCCUAAAACGUGCGGAUCGGUGCUGAAGGAGCUGUUCUCCCGGAGGGUGCUGAUCGGUGCUGGACAGAGACAUCUGACCAACGGAUGCUGACCCGGCUGGAUCCCAAGUUGGUCACACAGAGGAUGCUGAUUGGGGCUAAAACUGAACCUCCAGUACACAGCACAGACUACGCAGGCUGGACAGAGGAGCACUGAGAACAUUCCCCAUUUCUGAGCUUCAAGGAGUCUGGACACACUGAAAACUCCCCGACUUUCCCCACAAAAAUCCAGAUCACUCCCUAGAAUUCAUAGUUUUUACUCCCACUUUCCAGAUUUCCUUUCAUUCUUGUCUUGUUAUCAAACUGGUUAACUUAAUAAAUGGCUACAUAAAUGACUCAUCCAA